rnacentral:lncRNA from 1 species
UGUUCGAUUAAAAAGAAAGGAAAAUCUUACUAUAACAAUAAGUUGGUCUGAAGUAGAGAUUAGAAAGAAAGAUUGAAGAAGGAAGGUGAGAAGAAGCUUGGAUCUUUUCAGGAAAUUAAUGCUUUUGGAAGAUUGAAGAAGGAAGGAACUGAGAAGAAGCUUGGAUCUUUUCUGGAAAUUAAUGCUUUUGGAACCAGUUUCGGGCCGGGCUCAAUUAUUGACAUCACCAAGCGGCCAAGUCAUUGUAUAAUGUUUUAUUCUCAAC